rnacentral:rRNA from 1 species
UACGUAGGGUGCAAGCGUUAAUCGGAAUUACUGGGCGUAAAGCGUGCGCAGGCGGUUUUGUAAGUCUGUCGUGAAAGCCCCGGGCUCAACCUGGGAAUUGCGAUGGAGACUGCAAGGCUUGAAUCUGGCAGAGGGGGGUAGAAUUCCACGUGUAGCAGUGAAAUGCGUAGAGAUGUGGAGGAACACCGAUGGCGAAGGCAGCCCCCUGGGUCAAGAUUGACGCUCAUGC